CAGUUUGGACAUGUGGCGCGACUAAGCCUUUACCAGUCAAAUGAAUAAUCUGAUAAGUUUCAAGCAAUGUAUCAAGAUGACGACGAAUGGCCUCGUUUAUUUUAAGGCUUCCCAUACUGCCGCCCAUCACAAGUAACACUUUUUUGUUUGGAUUAAAUCCAGUUAAUUGAUAACC
rfam:Staphylococcus sp. HGB0015 genomic scaffold aczIz-supercont1.1, whole genome shotgun sequence.